rnacentral:rRNA from 1 species
UCUGCCUGAAGAGAAGCUCGCGGCUGAUUAGCUAGUUGGUAGGGUAAAGGCUUACCAAGGCGACGAUCAGUAGCUGGUCUGAGAGGACGAUCAGCCACACUGGAACUGAGACACGGUCCAGACUCCUACGGGAGGCAGCAGUGAGGAAUUUUCUGCAAUGGGCGAAAGCCUGACAGAGCAAUACCGCGUGAGGGAUGAAGACUUACUGAGUUGUAAACCUCGGUACCUUAAGGAAGAAGAUCUGACGGUACUUAAGGUGGAAAGCAUCGGCUAACUCCGUGCCAGCAGCCGCGGUAAGACGGGGGAUGCAAGUGUUAUCCGGAUUUACUGGGCGUAAAGCGUCUGCAGGUGGUUUCUUAAGUCUACUGUUAAAUCUUGAGGCUCAACCUCAAAUCUGCAGUAGAAACUAGGAGACUUGAGUAUAGUAGGGGUAGAGGGAAUUUCCAGUGGAGCGGUGAAAUGCGUAGAUAUUGGAAAGAACACCGAUGGCGAAGGCACUCUACUGGGCUAUUACUGACACUCAGAGACGAAAGCUAGGGGAGCAAAUAGGAUUAGAUACCCCAGUAGUCCUAGCCAUAAAAAUAGGAACGGGAUUUGGACGUAUCGACCCGUUCAGUAUCUUAGCUAACGCGUUAAGUAUCCCCCCUGGGGAGUACGCUCGCAAGAGUGAAACUCAAAAGAAUUGACGGGGGCCCGCACAAGCGGUGGAGGAUGUGGUUUAAUUCGAUGCAACGCGAAGAACCUUACCAGGGUUUGCUAGAAGAGUUGGUUUUUUGAAAAGAAUUCCUUAUUCCGCUUCUACAGGUGGUGCAUGGCUGUCGUCAGCUCGUGUCGUGAGAUGUUGGGUUAAGUCCCGCAACGAGCGCAACCCUUAUUUUUAGUUCUAUUGUCUAGAAAGACUGCCGGUGACAAACCGGAGGAAGGUGAGGACGACGUCAAGUCAUCAUGCCCCUUACACCCUGGGCUACACACGUCCUACAAUGGGUAAGACAAUAAGUUGCAAAUUCGCGAGAAUAAGCUAAUCUUUGAAACUUACUCCAAGUACAGAUUGCAGGCUGCAACUCGCCUGCAUGAAGGUGGAAUCGCUAGUAAUCGCUGGUCAGCUACACAGCGGUGAAAAAGUUCCCGGGCCUUGCACUCACCGCCCGUC